rnacentral:rRNA from 1 species
UACGGAGGAUCCGAGCGUUAUCCGGAUUUAUUGGGUUUAAAGGGUGCGCAGGCGGGAGACUAAGUCGGUGGUGAAAUUUUGCAGCUCAACCGUAAAAGUGCCUUCGAUACUGGUGGUCUUGAGUGUGGAUGAGGUAGGCGGAAUUUGUGGUGUAGCGGUGAAAUGCAUAGAUAUCACGAGGAACUCCGAUUGCGCAGGCAGCUUACUAAACUACUACUGACGCUCAGGCACGAAGGCGUGGGGAUCAGACAGGAUUAGAUA